UUUACCUACGGGGCGCAGCAGUGGGGGAUAUUGCACAAUGGGGGAAACCCUGAUGCAGCGACACCGCGUGGGUGAAGAAGCGUUUCGGUAUGUAAAGCUCUAUCAGCAGGGAAGAGAAUGACGGUACCUGACUAAGAAGCCCCGGCUAACUACGUGCCAGCAGCCGCGGUAAUACGUAGGGGGCGAGCGUUAUCCGGAUUUACUGGGUGUAAAGGGAGCGUAGACGGUUCUGCAAGUCUGAAGUGAAAGCCCGUGGCUUAACCGCGGAACGGCUUUGGAAACUGUGGAACUGGAGUGCUGGAGAG
rnacentral:rRNA from 1 species